rnacentral:rRNA from 1 species
AACGAACGCUGGCGGCAUGCCUAACACAUGCAAGUCGAACGAGACCUUCGGGUCUAGUGGCGCACGUGUGCGUAACGCGUGGGAACCUGCCCUUAGGUUCGGAAUAACUCCCCGAAAGGGGUGCUAAUACCGGAUAAUGUCUUCGGACCAAAGAUUUAUCGCCUUUGGUUGGGCCCGCGUUGGAUUAGCUAGUUGGUAGGGUAAAAGCCUACCAAGGCGACGAUCCAUAGCUGGUCUGAGAGGAUGAACAGCCACACUGGGACUGAGACACGGCCCAGACUCCUACGGGAAGAAGCAGUGGGGAAUAUUGGACAAUGGGCGAAAGCCUGAUCCAGAAAUGCCGCGUGAGUGAUGAAGGCCUUAGGGUUGUAAAGCUCUUUUACCCGGGAUGAUAAUGACAGUACCGGGAGAAUAAGCUCCGGCUAACUCCGUG